UGAUGCGGUCAUACCAGGGCUACUACACCAGAUCCCAUCAGAACUCUGCAGUUAAGCGCCCUUGGGCCGGAAUAGUACUGGGAUGGGUGACCU
rnacentral:rRNA from 1 species